UACGUAGGGCGCGAGCGUUGUCCGGAUUUAUUGGGCGUAAAGAGCUCGUAGGCGGCUUGUCGCGUCGACUGUGAAAACCCGAGGCUCAACUUCGGGCUUGCAGUCGAUACGGGCAGGCUAGAGUUCGGUAGGGGAGACUGGAAUUCCUGGUGUAGCGGUGAAAUGCGCAGAUAUCAGGAGGAACACCGAUGGCGAAGGCAGGUCUCUGGGCCGAUACUGACGCUGAGGAGCGAAAGCAUGGGGAGCGAACAGG
rnacentral:rRNA from 1 species